rnacentral:rRNA from 1 species
UUCCGGUUGAUCCUGCCGGACCUGACUGCUAUCGGAUUGAUACUAAGCCAUGCGAGUCAUUGUAGUAAUACAAGGCAGACGGCUCAGUAACGCGUAGUCAACCUAACCUAUGGACGGGAAUAACCUCGGGAAACUGAGUAUAAUGCCCGAUAGAACAUUAUGCCUGGAAUGGUUUAUGUUCCAAAUGAUUUAUCGCCGUAGGAUGGGACUGCGGCCUAUCAGUUUGUUGGUGAGGUAAUGGCCCACCAAGACUAUUACAGGUACGGGCUCUGAGAGGAGUAGCCCGGAGAUGGGUACUGAGACACGGACCCAGGCCCUAUGGGGCGCAGCAGGCGAGAAAACUUUGCAAUGUGCGAAAGCACGACAAGGUUAAUCCGAGUGGUUUCUGCUAAAGGAACCUUUUGUCGGUCCUAGAAACACCGAUGAAUAAGGGGUGGGCAAGUUCUGGUGUCAGCCGCCGCGGUAAAACCAGCACCUCAAGUGGUCAGGAUGAUUAUUGGGCCUAAAGCAUCCGUAGCCGGCUCUAUAAGUUUUCGGUUAAAUCUGUAUGCUCAACAUACAGGCUGCCGGGAAUACUGUAGAGCUAGGGAGUGGGAGAGGUAGACGGUACUCGGUAGGAAGGGGUAAAAUCCUUUGAUCUAUUGAUGACCACCUGUGGCGAAGGCGGUCUACCAGAACACGUCCGACGGUGAGGGAUGAAAGCUGGGGGAGCAAACCGGAUUAGAUACCCGGGUAGUCCCAGCUGUAAACUAUGCAAACUCAGUGAUGCAUUGGCUUGUGGCCAAUGCAGUGCUGCAGGGAAGCCGUUAAGUUUGCCGCCUGGGAAGUACGUACGCAAGUAUGAAACUUAAAGGAAUUGGCGGGGGAGCACCACAAGGGGUGAAGCCUGCGGUUCAAUUGGAGUCAACGCCGGG